AUGUGGGAUCCAUGGAGAUUAGCAAUGUGGGAUCCACUGGAGAUCAGCAAUGUGGGGUCCACUAGAGAACUCACUGUCUGGCGAGACCCUCACAGGCCAGGUGCAUCCUCAGAGCCACCGAGAGGAGAGCAGGAGCAGACCCACUGGAGGCCCCGGCUUUGGAGCGUGAGGCUGUGGUCUAUGACUGGGGAGUGGGCAACUGCAGAACUACCAGGAUCUCCUUCCCAAAAGGCAGCCCACGAUUGGGUCCGUGGCCACGGGAGGACACGGGUGGGUCUGGCGUGCUUCAGGGGCUGGGCUGGUGCCUCCUAGAGAAGCUGUCCUGCCCACCGUGAUGGGCACCCAGGGGAGGCCCUAUGAAUUCCACAGCGGGAGCUGGCGGCCUGGGCUCUGGACAUUCAUGGAAGGCCUUUCUGGUUCUGCCACUUUCUAGCUACGUGACCUGAAUUUUGUGUCUCACGCUCUCCAAGCCUCAGUUUCCACAUCUGUAAAUAGGAUCAGGAAAAAGUCCCAACACAGGUCGUAGAGGGCUGUUGUAAGAGAAAGGGCACUAGGUCA
rnacentral:lncRNA from 1 species